rnacentral:rRNA from 1 species
ACUCCUACGGGAGGCAGCAGUGGGGAAUAUUGGACAAUGGGGGGAACCCUGAUCCAGCCAUGCCGCGUGUGUGAAGAAGGCCUUAUGGUUGUAAAGCACUUUAAAGCGAGGAGGAGGCUACUGAGACUAAUACUCUUGGAUAGUGGACGUUACUCGCAGAAUAAGCACCGGCUAACUCUGUGCCAGCAGCCGCGGUAAUACAGAGGGUGCGAGCGUUAAAUCGGAUUUACUGGGCGUAAAGCGUGCGUAGGCGGCUUUUAAGUCGGAUGUGAAAUCCCCGAGCUUAACUUGGGAAUUGCAUUCGAUACUGGGGAAGCUAGAGUAUGGGAGAGGAUGGUAGAAUUCCAGGUGUAGCGGUGAAAUGCGUAGAGAUCUGGAGGAAUACCGAUGGCGAAGGCAGCAUCUGGCCUAAUACUGACGCUGAGGUACGAAAGCAUGGGAGCAAACAGGAUUAGAUACCCCGUGUAGGAUAGCG